rnacentral:rRNA from 1 species
AGUCGCCACGGGAAUACGAAGGGUGCAAGCGUUAAUCGGAAUUACUGGGCGUAAAGCGUGCGUAGGCGGUGAGUUAAGUCUGCUGUGAAAUCCCCGGGCUCAACCUGGGAAUGGCAGUGGAUACUGGCUCGCUAGAGUGUGUCAGAGGAUGGUGGAAUUCCCGGUGUAGCGGUGAAGUGCGUAGAGAUCGGGAGGAACAUCAGUGGCGAAGGCGGCCAUCUGGGACAACACUGACGCUGAGGCACGAAAGCGUGGGGAGCAAACAGGAUUAGAUACCCCGGUAGUCCCUGUCUCUUAUACA